UAAGGAAUCUUCCACAAUGGGCGAAAGCCUGAUGGAGCAACGCCGCGUGCAGGAUGAAGGCCUUCGGGUUGUAAACUGCUUUUAUGAGUGAAGAAUAUGACGGUAACUCAUGAAUAAGCACCGGCUAACUACGUGCCAGCAGCCGCGGUCAUACGUAGGGUGCAAGCAUUAUCCAGAGUGACUGGGCGUAAAGAGUUGCGUAGGCGGUUUGUAAAGCGAAUAGUGAAACCUGGUGGCUGAACCACACAGACUAUUAUUCCAAGUCACAAACUCGAGAAUAGCAGAGGUAACUGGAAUUUCUGGUGUAGGGGUAAUAUCCGUAGAUAUCAGAAGGAACACCAAUGGCGUAGGCAGGUUACUGGGCUAUUUCUGACGCUAAGGCACGAAAGCGUGGGGAGCGAACCGGAUUAGAUACCCGUGUAGUCC
rnacentral:rRNA from 1 species